rnacentral:rRNA from 1 species
ACCCGCACAAGCGGUGGAUGAUGUGGAUUAAUUCGAUGCAACGCGAAAACCUUACCUACCCUUGACAUGUCUGGAACCUUGCUGAGAGGCGAGGGUGCCUUCGGGAGCCAGAACACAGGUGCUGCAUGGCUGUCGUCAGCUCGUGUCGUGAGAUGUUGGGUUAAGUCCCGCAACGAGCGCAACCCUUGUCAUUAGUUGCCAUCAUUUAGUUGGGCACUCUAAUGAGACUGCCGGUGACAAACCGGAGGAAGGUGGGGAUGACGUCAAGUCCUCAUGGCCCUUAUGGGUAGGGCUUCACACGUCAUACAAUGGUCGGUACAGAGGGUUGCCAAGCCGCGAGGUGGAGCCAAUCCCUUAAAGCCGAUCGUAGUCCGGAUCGUAGUCUGCAACUCGACUACGUGAAGUCGGAAUCGCUAGUAAUCGUGGAUCAGAAUGUCACGGUGAAUACGUUCCCGGGUCUU